rnacentral:snRNA from 1 species
GUGGCUGGGCAGCACACAUACUAAAAUUAGAACGAUACAGAGAUGAGCAUGGCGCCUGUGCCAGGAUGACAUGCAAACUCCUGAAAUGUUCCAUGUUUUU